rnacentral:lncRNA from 1 species
UCAUAUUAAAGUUGUACUAAGUUAACACAAUGUCACUUUGAUAAAUUUAAACUCAUGUCAUACAUAUACAACUUCUUCAUAAUAAAGUCCUGUGGUAGUAAGAGGAUUUAUUCCUAGGUAAAUAAUUUAAAAUCUACCCAUUUCUAUAAUUUUUGUAAAAUUACACAAAUUUGAUAAAAUUACAGCAACAAAGCUAUUUGAUAUUAAAACAGAGAGACGAUAUUGAAGUUUCCAAGGGGAACUCUCUUCAGCAGGUACAAGAACGCGGAUUGUAAGUGAAGCACACUUGUAGAAAGCUGUCAUGGAGUAAAAGAUAAGUUACAUUGAAGACAUGAGAUCAUAGCCCUUACAAGAGGGUGCAUCAUGAACAUUAGGUUCUCUAGGGAAGCCAUUGCUUAGUUGUUCUUCGAGUUGAAGGAUGUGUCUAGUGCAUGGAUAGCAUGCAAUUGAAACAUAUGUAUGAGUCAGAAAAUUGAAGAAGCUUCGCAUGAAUCUUUGUCCCAUUUUAUCAGGCUAUCACCACCACCCCUAUCGAUCCAACUCAUGCCUUCUAAUUAGAGUUUCACCUUCAUCUUAAAUAAACCCAUAUUUGGGUUUUCCUUCUGCAAAUUAUUCACAAACAGCUUUAGAAAUAUACCACUGCUUUCUCCAAAUUCCUUUCUUAGCAAUAAUGAAAUUUUAUAUCAAGAAUAACUUUAGGUCUUAAAACAUUAUAAUAAGAACUAAAGAAGUCUUGAGUUGAUUGAAGAAUGUACAAGAGUUGUGUAAUCUCGUUAUUGACUUUUAUGAAGAAAAAAAAUGUUAUAAUAAGACAAGGAUUUUAGUGGGUUAGGAACAAUCAUACUCUCUCUUGUUUACUUAUUGUCAUUUGAUUCUUAAGGUUGAAAACGAUCUAUUUUUGCCUUUAUUUCAUUUUUUAUUAUUGAUUAAAAUUUAUUAAAUCAUGAAUACCACUUAUUAAUGAAAAAAAAGAGGUAUUCUAACAUUACUUCAUAUUAAAAUUGAAACUUCCAAUUUUUUUUCAAUAUUCUUUUAUUAUAUAUAAUCUAUAUAUAUUUGUAGCAAUUUAUUUAUAUAUAGCAAUAUGCAAAUAGGGAAAAAAAUCAAAAUUAAAAAAAUUAAAAUGUAUAAUAUUUGUAGUUUGAUUAAUACAUUUCAAAUCUUAGAAUCUUUUAAGAAACUUUUACUAUAUCUAAUUUGAUUUUAAAUAAAUUUUAUCACUUCACCGUUAAUUUUAACCAUCUUUAUAAAUUUUGUUUCAAUAAUAAUGUUUUAUAAGCCUCGCAUUUCUAUACUUGUUUAUUAAAAAUAUAAUUCUUUUAUAAUUUAAAAUUUAAUUAUUAGAAUUAAAUUUUAAUUUAAUGAUAGUAUUCUAAAUAGUACGUAUUAUUAAUAUUAAAUAAAUUGUUCAAAAGCUUUAGAAUCUUAUAUAAAAUUAAGAUCUUAAUAUUUUAAAAGUCUUUUAUGUUAUGAUACAUAAAAAAUGUUCCAAGAGAAUAUGUUACUAGAUCUAACUCUUGCCCCAAAUCAAAGUAUGUAUUUCUAUUCGCUAAUUCUAUUAUUAUCAACCUCUUUAUUAAGGCUUCAAAACUUGAAAACAACACUACCAAUAAUUACCUUUCCUUACACAAAAAGCCAGUGAUGCUCGCAUCUUUUGUUAUGUGAUUUUGGUUUUUGAAGUAUUAUAGAACUCAUCAAGCAUCGAAAUGAUCGAUCCUUCUGUUUGUUUGCUUCAUUAUUACUUAAUUUCCAACAUAGAUUACAAAGCCCCACAAUCACAAUUGUUUUAGAUCCCCCAUUAACUUUAUUAACAAAAAUAAAAAGGGAAAAACUUAUCAUUUUUCAAAAUAACAUAUUAUCCUACAAAACCUUAAUAAAAUAAUCUAAAAGUUAGAAUAAAAGAAAAAACUCAUUAAAAACAAAAAGGAAUUUAAUAAGUUGAAAAUCCUAUAUCACAUUAUGAUUGGUAAAAAAAAUAAUAUUUUACUGAAAUAAAACAAUUUCAAAAUUUAUUUAGUGAACAAUCUUAAAAUUUCAUCGAUCAAAACACAAUUGUACAUUAAAAACACCAAUUUACAACUUUAAUUUCACAAAUACAAUUUUAAAAUUAUUCAAUUCUAAUAAAUAUAAUUUCAAAAUUCUUCCUUAGACCAAAAAAUUAUUUCUCUUACUAAUUAUUAUACCGGAGUUCUUAACCUAUCAUUACUCUAUAAAUAAUGGAUUACAUUAUUAGCAAAGACUACUUAUUAAUCAGUAGCACAGUUUUUAUAAAAUAACAAAGAAGAAAGAAGAGAAGAAAAAACACCCCAAGAUUUGUUUAAUGUAACCUAAUCUGGACCUAACUUGGGAUGUGAAGAAGAAUAUUCAAACCAUCAUAUAAAAAGAACAUAAAAGUACGUACCUGAAAGCAACUGUUAUUUGGUUCUAUACGAGACAUAGCUUUGCAUCCCAAAAUUUGAGGUAAACUGAACUUUGAACCAAUAGAUGAAGAACAAGAAGCUAAUGUUGCUUUCAAAAGACACCUUUCACUGAUUCCGGGGCUCCUGAUUCAUUCAAUGGACCACAACACCCAGCAAAUUGUAAGAACAAACAACAGAUAAGAGCUGCUCAUAAAAACACUUCCAUCAUUCUAUGCACAAUGUCUGAUAUUUCAUCAAACUGUAAUAACAUCUGGAUGUUUUUUUUUCCUUUUCUGUUGUGCUAAGCAGAAACAACCAUCGAACAACUAAGAAACGAAAAGGGUUUUAUAUAUAAUAAGGUGAUGAAAAGCAUAGGUUAUAUGAAAAAUAAAGCCAUGAAUUAUGAAGAUACCAUAGAUUAAGCCUCAGGUUGUAAAGAUGAAGAAGAGGGUGAAGGAGGAGCAGCCAAGUUUAGUGUGUGGCCACUCCUCUCGAAAAAGAGCUUCCACCUUAAACCAAAAACAAUUAUAUAGAGUCCAAGAAUAGAAACGAGUUGAAAAAGAGAAGAAAAAAAAGGUGUAAAAAAAUGAGUUGGUUCAUUGAAUCUAGACGCACACAGGAGUUGAAGGAGAAUAGGAGAAAGACAGGAACAUAACAUCAUGGAUGUGGGACUUUAGCUGUAAAAAGGUUUGGUAGGUGCGAACAGCAUCUGUUUAACGUUUCUCUUUUUGGGGAAAAGAAUAAAAACAGGAAUUUAAUAAAGUUUUUGAGCAUCAAAUGUUUACACCAUAUUUUAGUUGGAUGCUUCUUCAUCAAUCAAGAUUCCCCUUCAAGUAAUCAAUCUCCUUAAUGAAUGGACAUUAUAAGGAUGGGAGUUUUAUAUUAUUGAUUUGAAGCUAAACACUGUAUUCAUGUAAUCCCAUUAUAUGUGAAAAAUUAUAAGAAUGUCUUGUGAAGAAACCAAGGGACUAAUCCAUUAAGUAAACUAAAUUCACUGCUCAUCCUUUUUUUAACUAGAGUUUGCAUAUUUAAUAAACUUAGUUAAAUUUUAAGUAUAUUAUACAUUUAGAUAUUUUUAAUUAAAUUUCUAUUAUCUUAUUAAAUAUUCAAAUUAUUUUUUUUUAUUUUUUUACAUAAGUAUCUAUCAUUUGAUUUAAUCGUUAAUGACAUGACAGUUAUUUUAAUUCAUGUUUGAAAAGAAAAAAAUAAAUUGAUUGGCGAAUUAAAAGAAAUUAGAGCAGGAAAAAUAAGUUCAUAAGGGAGUUGGAAAUUAACAUAUAAAAAUAAUGGUUAAAAAAAUAACGUUUUGAAAAUACAUAAAUUUAUAUGAGAUACUUCAAAACUUAAUUAAAUUUAUAUAAUUAAGAUCAAUAAAAUUAUUUUACAUUCUUAUCAGUUAUAUUUUGUAAUUAUUUUCAAAAGUGGAGCUAUAUUAUAUUUUAUACCCCUAUUUGUAUUAGGUUAAGGCAUAUCUUCGUGUCUUAUUUUCUUACAAGUAUUUGACAGUUAUCCAAAAAGUCCUCCAUGCCCAGAACAACAAAAAUAUGUUUUUGGGUUAGAUGAAAAGAAUGAAAAAGAGGUAAUUUCUUCUUCCACAUCCACAUUUUCUUUCUGUACCUCCUCAAAUCUUUUAAUUCUAAAAUUAUUCUUAAGUAAAAGGAUAUGAUUUUUUUGUUAUUUCCAAAUUAUAUAAUUCUUAGACCUUUCAAAUUCUAAAAAUUGGAGUAUUUGGAUGGUGUUUUUUGAAUCCAAAAAAUAUAUUAUAAAUUUAAUUUUGUAUUAUGAAUUUUAAAAUUUGUAAUACAUUUUCAAACUUAGAAAAUAACUUGGAAUAAAUUGACAAACGAAAUAACGUUGUUUUGGGUACUAAUCAUACUAAUAAUAUAUGAUAGUAGAUGUUUAGUACAGUUAAAUUGAUUUUUUAAAUAGUGGAAAAUAAAUAUAUUUUCAUUACAUAAUUGAAAAAAAACUAUAUCGUUAAAAAAUAUAAUGUGUAUUUCUAUAAUCAAUAUUUUGAAAUAUAAUGUAAUUUCAAAAUAAAAUGAAAUCAAAUAAAUGUACAAAUUAAAAUUCCAAUAAAACCAGAAAAUAUAUUGAAUCCAGUUUUGUAAAGGUGAAACCAUUAACUACUACAAAAGAUAUUUAAAAGUAUUCUUCAGUGAUUAUUUAACAACCAAUAUCAAUUAAAACCAUUCAGUAUAAAAAGGACAUUUAAAAAGUAUUUUGUAUUCACUAGUUAAUAACCAAAUAGAUUAAAACAUGAUGAUAAACUUUCUAAUAUUUCAGAGGUCUUCUAUUAAUGUACCCGAUCGAUAUUGGACUAGUUACUAUUGAUUUCGGUGACCGAUUGUCUAAGCCAAAGAAUAUAUCAGGAGACACAAUAAAUGAUAAUAAUGACAGUUACAACAAUACUUAAUGAGUCAUAAUUCAUAUUCUAAUAUAUAUGGGAAUAUCUCUGACAAAUCAGCUAAAUACUAAUUAACUACCUAAAGAUAUUUUUAUAUACUUUCCUAUAAGUAAGGGAUUAUGCUUCAAAUCAGGGGAUAACAAUUGAUACUUGAUUUGUUUAGCCCAUGAUACUUUAUUGGUUUAGCCCAUUACCAUAAGGGUCCAUGACCAAUAGUAUAAAUACUUCUCUUUAGAGGUGUAAGGUACGCUUUUACCAAUUACCAGAAUACACUCUUGACAGAGUACUCACUUGAGCGUUGGAGUACUUUUUGCACGUCACCCCCGACCGAGCAUCGACAUUAAAGGAAGGAGGCUUGAAGGAAGUAACCAGAGGAUCACCGACACAUCAACAAUUGUACCCCCAGUCACAAGUACUAUCUAGGCCCCCUACCUAUACAGGUACAAUUGGCGUCCACCGUGGGGUCGAGGUAGUAUUCAACUUCAACAACAAGAAUAGAUUAAUAAUAAUGGUGUCAACAAGGAACGAUACCAACAACGAUUGGAUGGCGAACGAACAGAUCGCAGUAAUCCGGACCCUCCAGGCACAAAUGGAGGAGUUACGACAAAAAGGCAUUGAAGAAUAACAACAGAUUGAAUAGGAUUGGCGACGAAAUAAGGAAGAGAUGCUCCUUCUCAAGGAACAUAAUAGAGAGCUAAAGCAGCAACUUGAUGGGUGUGAACGAGAAGAACAAUCUUGAACACAGACUCAUCAAAGUGAUCAAAGUUCCAAACACACCCCUUCGUCGCGAAGACCCGAGAGGGCAUCCUUUUAUGGAUGAGAUCAUCGAAACACAACUCCCUUCCAAGUGGAAGGGAUUAACCAUUAAACUCUACGACAGUUCUACCGACCCGGACGAACACGUAAAUAUCUUCAAGACACAGAUGACCCUUUACACAACCAACAAAGCAUUAUGGUGUAAGGUUUUCCCUACCUCUCUCAAGGAGGAGCCCCUUGACUGGUUCACCCAACUCCCUCCUAAUUUUGUGGAUCGUUUUAAAGUUUUGACGGCUAUGUUCACCACUCAAUAUGCAACAAGUCGACCGCAUCAUACCUCUUUCAUGUUCCUCCUUAACGUAAAACAAGAAAAGGGGAGUCUUUUUCGGGCAUUCAUGUAUAGAUUCAAUAAAUUUUGUAUGGGUAUCAGAAACCUUGUGUCAGAGAUAGCCAUGCACCACCUCGUCUCGACAAUCUGGCCAGGAAGAUUUACUGAAAGCUUGAUCAAAAUAUCAGCCAAAAAUAUUAAUGAGUUGAGAAAUCGUGCAACCAAGUUCAUGCAUAUAGAGAAACACACCGAUUAUCAUAAAAGCAUUCAGUUCGUGAAUGAAGAUAAAGAGAAGAAGAAGAAGAAGAAGAAGAAGAAGAAGAAGAAGAAGAAGAAGAAGAAGGACAGAGUCAUUCGGAUUGCCUCAGAGAAAAUUGGAGACACCGGUUUCUUAGUUAUACCCCAUUGACGGUCCCAAGGGGAAGAAUUCUGAACGAGGCAUUGUAAGCCGAGUUGAUUCUGGCCCUUAGGCAGUUGCAAAGUCCGAGGAACGCUGAUACGUCUAAGCAUUGUCAAUACCAUCGCAAUUAUGGCCAUACGACCAAAGGCUACCAAACACUGAAGGAUAGCAUAAAGAACUCAUCCAAGUUGUCCACCUGCACAAAUUCGUCAAGACUAAUGUCAACUCGUACCGAUCUUCGCAAAGGGAAAGGUACCCACCUAGAGGCUGAAAUGAACAAUACGAUCGGCGUGGACGAGAAGGCUCGUGUCGUUGGAAUGACAACCAAAGUCCGACGAAACAAAGACGAAGGAGUGAGAGCCUAGUACGGAGAACUCGACAACGAAGUGAGAGUCCUAGAAGGAACAAUCAGACCAAACACGGAGUCUGGGAGGUCAUCAAUACUAUAGUUGGGCUGAUCCCAUUCCUGAACCCCGGACGAGAGGUAAACAUAAUCGCACGAGGUUUCGCUAGAGGUGGAUGCUCCAAUUCCGCUAGGAAGAAGCAUCUUUGGGCCAUUCAGUCGGUCCAUUAUGUAACCACCCGAAGCCGACCGAGGAUGCCCCCAAUCACCUUUACAGACGACGAUUUUACUGCAAUUAACCCAGCUCAGGACAACCCCCAUGGUAAUCACUGUGGAGAUAGAUAAGUUCGCAAUCACCAAGGUUUUGGUGGACCAGGGUAGCUCGGUGAUAUCCUGUAUUGGGAUACCUUUAAGAAAAUGAGGAUUCUAAAGUUGGAAAUCUAGUCUUACAACAAAGCUUGUCCUAAGGAUUUUUAUCCUCUGUCGUGCAUUGAUCUACUCGUCGAUGGAGAAGUAGGUCACAUUAUCCUGAGUUUUUUAUAUGCAUAUUCUAGAUACAACCUAAUCCAGAUGCAUUUGAGAGACAAAGAAAAGAUAGCUUUCAUGACUGAGUGUAACAACUUUUAUUACGAAGUUGUGCCUUUCGGCCUAAAAAAUGCAGUUGUCGCCUAUCAACGACUGAUUGACUACAUUUUCAAGGGAAUGCUCGGCCGGAGUGUUGAGGUUUAUGUGGAUGACUUUGUCGUCAAGUCUGAAUCAUACCAACAACACAUCAAAGACUUACAGGAAGUGUUUCAAGCCCUCCGCGACCACAACAUGAGGCUUAACCCUAACAAGUGUGUGUUUGGUGUGGAAGGAGGAAAAUUCUUGGAUUUUAUGCUUGUUCAUCGUGACAUAAAAGCAAACCCUGAGAAAUGUAGGGCAAUCACCGAGAUACGAAGCCCUGAAAAUGUAAAGGAAAUUCAAAGGCUAAUCAAGCGGCUUGCAACACUUUAUAGGUUCUUACCAAAGCGAGUAGAGAAGACCAAGCUUAUUGAGCAGUUGCUACGAAAGGCGGAUAAGUUUCGAUGGACAGACGAGUGCAAAGGAAUAUUCCUCCAGUUGAAAGCUUUCUUGGUGUUCACUCUGGUUAUUCAAAAACCAUACGCCAAAGAAGUCAUAAUCGUUUAUCUCAAUGUUUCAAAGGAUGCUAUCAGCGCAACAUUAAUCCAAGAGGUAGAAAAGGAGGAACGAUCAAUGUACUUGUUUUCUUCUGAUCGAUCAAGAUCUUUAUCACCGAGGAUACACUCGGCCACUCUUAAAAUGCAUCACUUCUGAAUAGGCUACUUAUGUUAUGCGGGAAAUUCAUGAAGGAAUAUGUGGUACGCACUCGGGUGUUAGGACAAUGGCAGCUAAGGUGUUACAGGCGAGCUAUUAUUGGUCGACCGUUCAGGGAGACUGUACAGAAUUUGUGUGGAAAUGUGUUAAGUGUCAGGAGUACGGUAGUUUAUCUCACCAAAAUCCUGAGAACCUUCAUUACAUUCUCUCCCCAAGGCCAUUUGUGAAAUGGGGGAUGGACAUCAUCGGACCCUUUACUCCACAGAAUGGGCAAUGCAAAUUUUUGUUAGUGGGAAUAGACUAUUUUACCAAGUGGAUAAAGGUCGUACCCAUAACAGUCAUCAUAGCAUGGAAUGUCCAAAAUUUCGUUUGGAAAAACAUUGUGUGCCGCUUCGGAAUACCACACACCAUCAUCACCGACAAUGGUCGACAAUUUACCGACCGAGGACUAGCUGAGUUUUCCAAAAAAGUUGAUAUUAGAGAUAUCACAAGCUCGGUGCAGGACCCGCAAACCAACGGCCAAGCCUAGGCCGCCAAUAAAAUCAUUCUUAAUGAUUUAAAAAAGAGACUCGACCCAGCUAAGGAUAAAUGGACCGAAGAUCUCGAGGUCUUGUGGGCUUACCGAUGUACACCACAUUUGACUACACAAGAAACCCCAUUCAGUCUAACUUAUGGGACAAAAGUUAUGAUCCCAAUUGAAAUCAGAGAACCCUCUCUACGACGACAAUUUCUGGAUUUGAAUCUUAACAAGGAAAGUUUGUUGGUCGACCUCGACCUGAUCAACAAAUUUAGGGCAAAAGCAAGGGAAGAAGCAUACAAGGUUUGAGCGGCAAGAAGGUAUAAUUCGAAGGUAAAACCAAGAUUCUUACAAAAGGGAGAUUUAGUCUGGCGGAUGCGCAACGAAGCUCGGAAGAAUGAAGGCAAGUUCUUGAGCAAUUAGGAAGGACCUUUUCGAAUUUCAGACAUAACGGUCGGCUAAGUCUAUUACUUGGAAUUUUUAUCAGACAAAAUUGUACCGACAACGUGGAAUGCUACACAUCUAAAUAUAAUACCUAUUUAUUAGUUACCAGUAUAUAUUUUCAUCUCUACUAAUUAUAGAAUAUUUAAUGAAAUGAAUUAAAUUGAACUAAAAUUAAUUUGCUUAAAUUAAAACUAAACUAAAAUAUCAAUAAGGUAAUAUAUUUUUCAUUUUGGAGUUUGGAGACUCGUAAUUUUAUUCUUACAAAAAUUGUUUUUAUCUUUUAACAUCUAAAUGAUGUGAAAAUUUAACGGAACAUGAUGGAAGAUUAACUAUAUUUUCUAUUUUUAAAUUCAACUAUAUUUUUUUUCAAAAAUUGAAAUAAUUUAACUAUUUAAAUUGCAUUAAUAUUGCACAUUCAUAGAAAAAAAAAUAAUAGUCUUAUUUCUUUUCGUUCAAAUUCAUAAAAUAAAAUUCCAACUACAUUACUAUUACACAUUAGAAAAAAAAACAAAAAAAAUAUAACUUUAUUUUUUCGGUUCAAAUUCAUAUAAAAAAAUCAUUUUAAAUAACAAUGUAAUAACCACACACUACUAAAAAAAUCAUUAAAUAAAAACUAAUUUUAGAAACAAAAAAUAAUUAAUUGUAAUAUUGAAUAAAUUAUAUACUAUUUUAUAGACUAAAAAUAUUAUUGGUAUCUAAAUUAGUUUCUAUUAUUGAUAAAUAGUUUCUAAAUUGGUAUCUAAUCAGAUUAACUAACAAGGUAUUAGCUAGCAAUUAUUUAAAUUAUAAAGUUGGUAGCUAAAACAUUAGGAGUUAAUUAAUUAGAUAUCAAGUUAGAAAAUAUUUAUCAAUAACAAAAACUAAUUUAGAUACUAAUAUUUUUUUUCCUCUAAAAUAGUAUCUAAUUUAGUAAAUAUAACAACUAAUUAUAUUUUGUCUCUAAGAUUGGUUUUAUUUAAUGAUUUUCUUGUAGUGAUAUUUUUAAAGACAAAUUAUAUAUAAUAUAUUAAUAAAAAUAUUACCGUGUUAAUAUAGAAAGACAUAAAUUAUAAAAAAAAGUGUAAUUAACUACUAAUGGUUUCAGCUACCAACUAUUUAGAUUUUAAAUUUGGUAGCUAAAAUCUUGGUAGCUAAUUAGAUACCAAUUUAGAAAUUAUUUAUUAGUAAUAUAAAUUACUUUAUACACCAAUAAUUUUUUUAUCUCUAAAAUAACAUCUAAUUUAGUCAAUAUAGUGAUUAAUUAUUUUUUAUCUCUAAAAUUAGUUUAUAUUUGAUGAUUUUCUUGUAGUGUGUCACUUUUAGUGGCUAACCCUUCUAGUGCAUAAGGAAAAAACUACCUCAAGCACCCCACACAUAGCCUCUUUGUCACACACAUCUUAAACGUCUAUGCCACCUUCCAAUCAUCAAAGUGGUGUCGCUUUGCCACGGUUGGGAUCACCAUCCUUUGCACAUCCCAUUCCAACCCAUAUUUGUCUAUUCUUUGUGUAUUGAUAGUUUGACUCUCAUUCUCUUUGUUUCUCGUUUUCCCUUUUUUUUAAUAUUUAUGUAAACACAUUAAGUUUGAAAUGUUAUGUUACACAAUGAGCACGAGUCUUUAAUAACAUUCUAUUGAUCUCAACGUUUAGUCAUACUCUUACAAAACGACAACUUCUAGCUUCAACAUUUCUCAUGAAAAAAUAUUAUUUACGAUGUUGUGUACUGUUGAGAGUUUAUUGUUGUCAUUAUAUUGCAUUAAAAAAUAAAAAUGUCGAAGUUGUUCAAAUCUCCAUACUAUGAUUCAAUGAAUGAGACUACAAGUAUGUACCAACUUGAGAUGGACAAAAUGAAAUCUGACAUGGGUGAUAAACUUGUAAUUUAAUAGUACAUUACGCCAUAUAUUUCCCCACCUAUCUUCACUGUCUUAACACACUUGAUGUGUUUAUGUAUGGCUUCCACUUCAAAUGUUAUGAUUUUCCUUCUCCCUACUUUACUUUGUGUGUUUCUUCCCAUCUAGAUAUUGCUUGAUUAAGCUUGUUGUAAAUUAGAUAUUUGAUGUGGCAGAUACGCUUAUGCAUUUUGCAAUAUAAGGAACUUGGUCUCCAGCUCCAUAUUUAUAGUUAACCUGCAUUUGUUGUUGCCAAUUUACCUUUAAGCUAGCUUCCAUCAUGCUUUGACUAUUUUAUUCACUUCUACAUAUAACUCCCUUACUACUUUAAAGCUUUAUCAGCUAAUUGUUAUUAGUUUUGUUAUGCUUAUCCUUUUUUUAUUGUAACAUCCAAACUUCACAAUUGUGGAAUGUUAAUCGGGGAUCAAUAGUGCCAUCAUGGAGGUUUAAUUAGUGUUUGUCGGCCUUUAUGCCUUGUUAAUGUGCCAAUGCGCUUUGGCAUACCCUAUUUUACCCUUGUUACUAUGUUGCAAUUGUGGAUAUUUUCAUAGGUACCUCUUAGCAUAUAUCUUACCAUCAUUCCUACCUUAGUACCAUUCACUUAAGAUCUAUUCUGAUUUCUAACUGGCUCACAUUCUCAUUUCUAGCUGGCUCACAUUCUCAUUUCUAGGGAACUGACAUCUUAAACAAAAAUCCCUAGCUUAUACUUCAUAUCACACUCUAGUCAUUAUCAUCUAAAGGAUAUUUUAGCAUGCUAGGUUGCAUUGAGUCAAUUAAAAAAAGACAUUUUUAUCCUUUAUCUUUUAUUUCUCCUCCUCCUAACAUUUCUAAAUACAUACUUCCUAUAUCAAUUAGAGUAUAUACUUUCUGUAAAUUUUGGACAUAAAACACCAAUUAGAGUAUGAAAAUUUAGCGUUUGGAAACUUGUUGAUUAUCCAUGCCCAUGCAUUAGCACUUGCUUGGCAAAAUAUCUCCUAUGCAUCCACCCUUUUGUUCCUAAAUAUAAUUUCAUUUGUUUGUUUCCAUAUAUUCCAUGUGAUUCCAAUUCACAUAAUUUUCCAUACUUGUUUUCCUUUAUUGUUUAGUUUCAUAAUCAUUAAUUGUUGGAUGUGUUUUUUCAAUUGAAAGUGAAAGGUCGUGUUGAUGUUAAUAUAAUGAUAACAUGAAUUCCAUAUUUGUUUUGCUACGUUCCACUUAAUGGGUAUAUGAUUUAAUGUUUCCCACAAAUCCACGCAUAACACACAUAGUAUUGCAUACAAAAGCACCCUUAGGAGUUAGCUUAUCCUUAGUCAAAACUCUAUUAUGAAUUAAUCUCCAAGCAAAUAAAUGGGCUGAUGGUGGGGUUUUAAUGUUCUGGAACUGGUUAUAGACUUCUCUAUGUUGUUCACCACUAUUGAAAAUGAAGCUUUGAUGCCUCCAAAUCUGUGAAGAGAGCUUGAUGCCUGUGCUGCUGAGUUUGGGGUUUAGUUAUAGGUAGUUUGGAAUUUUUGAAAUUCAUUCUUAAUCCAAAGCACAACUGAAUCAAUCUGGUUUUGAAAAUGAAAAGUGUUUUUCUAAGCUAAAGUGAAAAACAACCGAUUGAUUUCUCGGUUUAGUCGGUUGUUUUACACUCAGCUUGUUUGGAGGGUUUUCAAACUAUUUUUGACUUGGUUGACUAACUGUCAAACCAAUUCAACCGGUUAAAACGACAUUUCAACCGGUUGAUAUUUGAAUUUCUUAACAGCUUUUCAAAAACCUGUUAAAUCUGUUUUCAGUUGAUUUGAAACUGUUUUGGCUCGUGUUUAACUGCCUAAAAUAGCUAGUUUGAAGAACUAUAAAACUGGGUUACCUUCCAUAUUUGAAUACACAGAAAGAGAGAUUAAGAAAUUGUUUUGAGAGAGAUUUGAUUCAAGCUUUGCAAGAGUGCCUAAGGCUGUGCAAUUGGUUGAAGAAGUGAAUUGGUAGCUCUGUGAUUUCCUGUACACCAGGUGUAAUCGGUUCCUUCUAUUCUUGUAUUUGUUUUUCAUUUUGUAUACUUGUAAAACUGUAAAUCUGUAAGGCCAGAGGUUUUCUGACUGUGAUUGUGAAAAGGCAAAGAGGGUGUGUAUUCUUGUGUGAUCAAGAUCACCUCUUUGUAGUAUUGUGUAAUUGUAAUAUGUUGUUGGUUACUUAGUGAAAUACCCAAUGGUUUUUUGGGCACUGGAUGUAGUUCUGGUAAGAAGUGAACCAGUAUAAUUGAUUGUGUGAACCUUCUCUCUCUCAAUCAUUAUAAACUAUUUGAUUUGGGUUUUGUCUUUGCUGUUAUAAACAACUGGUUAAAUCGAAAUUUCAACCGAUUGUUUUUCUGCAAACAAUUUUAACAGUUUGAUUUCUUAGCUUCCCUGAUUGCUCUUUCUGUAAUUUUUCAUAAAUCUUCAUUUUUAGCUAACAUUUGCGAAAAUCUUGUGUUAAACAAUUCACCCCCCCUGUUAGGUCAUUAAUUCUUACAACCACAACAAAUUUGUAACUUAUUAUAAGUUGAUUUUUACUAUGUACGUUUUUGUAUAUAUCCUUAACACUCCAUAUCUAGGGAUGACAAAACAGGUUAGCCUAACAUUUAUUUUCUUGAUUCAACAUUAGCUCGCCAAAAGUAGGGCGGGGCGUGCUGGCCCAUCAAGGUUAUAUGGGCUGAAAUAGAUAACCCGCCCCGUGAUAGGGUGGGUUGACAAGUUUUUACUUUUUUUGUAAUUUUUUAUUUUUGAUCUAUUUAUUUAGUUGUUGUCCUUGAUAUCAUAUAUUUGGAUAAUAAAAACGCAAGGAAUAACAAUAAAAUUUAAUCAAACUAUAAUAUUCAAAUCAAAAAAUAUUUAUGCCUAACAAAAUAAAGUAAAUAUCAACAAUACCUCAAUGAAUCAUAUGAUGUAUAAAGAAAUUAAUGAAAAUAAAGUUUUAUAUAAAACAUUGAUCACAACCAAUUUUAAUUUCAAAAGCAUGAGAUUCUUCUUUAAAAGUGUAAAAAAACAAAGUAAUUAGUAGUUAAAACCUAGAUAACUAAUGUU